rnacentral:rRNA from 1 species
GCACAAGCGGCGGAGCAUGUGGCUUAAUUCGACGCAACGCGAAGAACCUUACCAAGGCUUGACAUACACCGGAAAGCAUCAGAGAUGGUGCCCCCCUUGUGGUCGGUGUACAGGUGGUGCAUGGCUGUCGUCAGCUCGUGUCGUGAGAUGUUGGGUUAAGUCCCGCAACGAGCGCAACCCUUGUCCCGUGUUGCCAGCAGGCCCUUGUGGUGCUGGGGACUCACGGGAGA